rnacentral:rRNA from 1 species
AUUGAACGCUGGCGGCAGGCCUAACACAUGCAAGUCGAGCGGAUGAGAGGAGCUUGCUCUUCGAUUCAGCGGCGGACGGGUGAGUAAUGCCUAGGAAUCUGCCUAGUAGUGGGGGACAACGUUUCGAAAGGAACGCUAAUACCGCAUACGUCCUACGGGAGAAAGUGGGGGAUCUUCGGACCUCACGCUAUUAGAUGAGCCUAGGUCGGAUUAGCUAGUUGGUAGGGUAAAGGCCUACCAAGGCGACGAUCCGUAACUGGUCUGAGAGAAUGAUCAGUCCCACUGGAACUGAGACACGGGCCAGACUCCUACGGGAGGCAGCAGUGGGGAAUAUUGGACAAUGGGCGAAAGCCUGAUCCAGCCAUGCCGCGUGUGUGAAGAAGGCCUUCGGGUCGUAAAGCACUUUAAGUUGGGAGGAAGGGCUCAUAGCGAAUACCUGUGAGUUUUGACGUUACCAACAGAAUAAGCACCGGCUAACUUCGUGCCAGCCGCCGCAGUAAGAC